rnacentral:misc_RNA from 1 species
AAAGUCGUAACAAGGUUUCCGUAGGUGAACCUGCGGAAGGAUCAUUACCAAAUUUUAGCUGCUCUGGUUUAGGCCAGUUGCACGCUUCAACCCUUUGUGAACCAAAAAACUUUCGCUUCGGUUAGCAGGUCCGACCGGAUGGCACAUGUCAUCCGGUCAGGCUGUCAGCCUGCCCGUGGCACCAAAACAAAAACUUGUUGUUAAACAUUGUCUGACCAAACUAUUUUCGAAUGAAAAUUAAAACUUUCAACAACGGAUCUCUUGGUUCUC